AACGAACGCUGGCGGCAUGCCUAACACAUGCAAGUCGAACGAGACCUUCGGGCUUAGUGGCGCACGGGUGCGUAACGCGGGGGAACCUGCCCUUAGGUUUGGCAUGACUCCCCGGAAGGGGUGCUAAUACCGGAUAAUGUCUUCGGACCAAAGAUUUAUCGCCUUUGGGUGGGCCCGCGUUGGCUUAGCUAGUUGGUAGGGUAAAAGCGUCCCAAGGCGACGAUCCGUAGCUGGGCUGAGAGGAUGAGCAGCCACACUGGCAGUGAGACACGGUCCAGAAUACUACGGGAGGCAGCAGUGGGGGAUCUAGGACAGUGGGCGGUGGCAUGAUCCAGCUAGGCUGGGUAAGUGAUGUAGGUCUUGGGGUAGUACAGCUAUUUUAUACGGGACGAUAAUGACGGUACCGGGAGAAUAAGCUCCGGCUAACUCCGUG
rnacentral:rRNA from 1 species